GGACACAGAAUUUCACUGGUCAGAAAUCAAAGAUUAUUUUUUUUUAUUUGGAGAUUUGCAAAUUGUUCCCAGUGCAGGUGGGGACCUCUGCAUGGCAAGCAUAAACCUAUUAAAAGAAAUGCCGGCUCUGCUAUUUCAGCUGCCUUGUGAAGACCCCUUAAAAGCUUAAUCCACCGGUCCUGCCUCCUGUCCAAAAGCCCUCAGUUCACAGCCUGAAGUUCCCUGAAGCCCAUGGAUCAACCAGAAGAUGUCGAUAACGUUUGGAGGCAGGGAAAAAAAAUGUUUAGUUACAUGCCAUGUGCGCUGCGUCCGGGAGAUGGAGAUGUUGGCAAACAGCACAAGGGAGAGGACAGCAAACCAGCGGCAGGGGUGGCCCAGGAACCGAGCGGGGAGACCGAGUGCUGUGGGAGCGGGCAGAGGGUGAGAAUCAACCUGCUGGGUCAGACUCGUGCAGAGGUGGGGAAGAGAAGGCGGCUAGAGAGACACAGGGGAGAGCUUUCUGGGACCAAAACUGGGAGAAACACAAAAAAUAGACAUGUGAAUUAAACGACGGCAUUGUGAAGACCGGGGGAUGCAGGCAUGGAUCCUCAGCACUUUUUAAGGGUGGGACUAUGCGGCGUGCUGGGGCAGGCUGCCGCCCAGCAGUGGCUCGCAUGUGACUCCUGGGUGGUGACAGCAUGCACAAGCCUUGUGUUGUCCCAGACGCCAGCCUGCCAAUUUACUCAGCUGGCCAUCACCGAGCGCCUCCUCAACACGGGCCUCAAGCACCCAUGGCUGGUGGCAUCCUCUUGGCUGCUGGUGGUGCUGGGUGUCCUGGGCGGGAGUGGUGGAAGGGCACCCCUGCCCAGGCUGUGCGCCCUGGCAGGACACCUGGCUCAAAGGAGCCCGCCAGGAGGACACGCAUCCUGCUACACCAGCUGUCCUGCCUCACCUGUACCUACAGAAGCAUACCUAGGAGAUAAGCUUACGUGCAAGUGGAUCUGCCUGUGAUCUUGACAUACUGGAAAUCCACCCCUCGCUUGUCAGCCUUGUGUGGUGGUAUUUGGUUUGGCCAAGAGGUGUCUUGGUGUCAGCACGUGAACUCUAUUAUGUGUGAAAGCAUAUAAUGUCUCCACUAGUGAAAAUAUGCAUUACUAGACCCUGCCAGCGUCAUUGUGAGGGCUGUUAAAAGUGGAUGGCCAUAUAUUCAAGUGGAGCACACAUAGAUGGCUGCUGCCCUGCUAUAAAGACAGGGGACAGCUAGCAAAGAAUAACUGAGCAGAGACUGGCAUUACUGGGAAGUGUGCAGACAUCAGUGGUCCAUGGAUUUCGGUUCAGUCAUGAUACUAAACUGACCCACAGCAGUUUGCAGAGAAUUUCAGGAUUGGUGGCUGAGGAAGCGAGGAAAGGCAGGCAGCUGUCUCUGAAAUAAUGUGACUUGGAUUGCUGUGAAUCUCUGUCUCUUCUUGCACUGCUGUUGUAUAUCUGUGUAUAUCACUACGUAAACUAGUGAAAUUACAGUGAUAGAAGAGAAAGCAAAAAAAAAACCCAAACCACCCCCAAACUUCUGUUGUACUAAUUCAGAGAAAAUAAAUGACAUAGCAAGAAAGCCUUAUUGUGACUUAAAAAUGACAUUUUCCUGUUAUAAAACUCCAAUAUUAACUAUGUAGUAGGCAUGAGAAGGGAAAAAAGGCCUGAUAGAAAAUCAGAAAAGUGCCUGAAAAUCAGGGUCACUUUAGAGACUUUCGUGAUUUCCUGUAAUGUGACAUAAACCAUCUAUUGUGUUUUUGCUGGCAAAUUUGUAGCUGAGGUCAAUGUAGCAGAAAAUAAAAGUUGAGAAAACAUA